rnacentral:rRNA from 1 species
GAUGAACGCUGGCGGCGUGCCUAAUACAUGCAAGUCGAGCGAACAGACGAGGAGCUUGCUCCUCUGACGUUAGCGGCGGACGGGUGAGUAACACGUGGAUAACCUACCUAUAAGACUGGGAUAACUUCGGGAAACCGGAGCUAAUACCGGAUAAUAUAUUGAACCGCAUGGUUCAAUAGUGAAAGACGGUUUUGCUGUCACUUAUAGAUGGAUCCGCGCCGCAUUAGCUAGUUGGUAAGGUAACGGCUUACCAAGGCAACGAUGCGUAGCCGACCUGAGAUGGUGAUCGUCCACACUGGAACUGAGACACGGUCCAGACUCCUACGGGAGGCAGCAGUAGGGAAUCUUCCGCAAUGGGCGAAAGCCUGACGGAGCAACGCCGCGUGAGUGAUGAAGGUCUUCGGAUCGUAAAACUCUGUUAUUAGGGAAGAACAAAUGUGUAAGUAACUAUGCACGUCUUGACGGUACCUAAUCAGAAAGCCACGGCUAACUACGUG